CGGGGACGGGACACGGGCAACAGGCUCAGCCCCCGCGCGCGCUCGGAGCGCCGCUCCCCCGCGGGGCCUUGCGCUGACCUGCAGGCGGCUGCUCAGCCCGGCGAAGCGAGCCGUCCCGUCGCCUGUCUCCCGCCGCGGCGGCUGCUCGGGCGGGGGCGGCUCCACACUACGCCGCGGCCAGCAGCGACGCGCCUCCUGGCUGGGCCUGGCCGCCCCGCCCUGUGCGCGGAGAGGAGGGUGCAGCAGCUGAGCUCCCCCCGACGACUCCACACCCCCGUUCCCCAGCGACACCGCACGCCCCGCCGGCACCAACACCCCCGGACGGGAGCUACGCGGCUGCAGACCAGCCUCUCCCACCCCCGGCCUGCACGCUAGGGACUCGCUCAUCCCUCCCAUCCCCGCAGGCAAAUUUAGGGGCUGCAUCCUCCCCAGCGCCUUGCCACCACGUCAUCUCUGAGGGGCUCCCCGCCGCCCCCCAAUUGCUACAGGUCACCAGAGCUGUACUGCCUGCCACCCAGCUCCUGCAAGCCUGCACUCCCCCCACUGCACGCACAGCCUGGUGUGUCGGGCUCUCACCCAACUUGAUCCGAACCUCGGGGGACACGACCCCCUUCAGCUCUUGUGCACCCUUCCCUGAUGUCGUCCGCACCGCGCUGGGGCACCCAUCCAUCCUGAGCCUUCAGAACCCAAGCCCACCUUUCACCACUUGGUCCCUGAACCUGGGAACACAGGCAAUUUUACAAGGCAAUUUUACAGGCAGUUGUCCUUAUACGCCAGUGGUGCAAUGCUAAAAUAAUCACCCUUCUUGUGAGCUUUUUCUGUCUAAGGUAGGUCUCUAAGUAACCUUCACGGUAACUAAAACCUCUUUGAAACCGGCAUAAUGCUAGCUUCUAGGGCUUUUGGAAUUUUGAAACUUAUUUCCAUUAGGGGAUUUUGUACAUGGUUUUAAAAAAAUUUCUAGAGUGGAACAUUUACUUUCAUGACAAAAAGUGAGUGGGGAUUGUUUAAAAUUUCGUUUUUAUGUGCUUUUUAUUUAUGCUGCUUUUUAAACCUGAUCAGGAAAGACAGUUGCCAUUUUCCUGUUUUCCCAAUUUUUAAUAUGUGGCUGCAUCUACACAAAGUCCAUACUCCUGUUCAGACUAACUUUUUGUAAUUUUAGUUAAGCAAGCAAUUUGUCAUAUAACAUAGGCCCCUAUAAAGAAAACUAAGCAAUUAGUCUCAAAUGGAUUCUUACACAGGUGUAAAUGGCAAAUAAAUAGGUGCAGUGCUGUUACUGAUGUUGGAGUUCUG
rnacentral:lncRNA from 1 species